ensembl:lncRNA
GAUAAUCAUUCCAGUGGCUUUUCCAAAUUGACAGAGUUCAAAACAGAACCAGUCAAACCAGCCUGAAACUGUUUUUAUAGUGUAGUUGUUGCCACAAAACAACAAGUACGGUGGGAGGGCUUAAAGGCUGAAGGAUCUGCCUAUUGGCUUGUUGGGCCAUGCUAGUAGUGCAGCAGUGACAUGGGAUGAGGCCACUAGGUGGCAUGAUGUGAAUGCUAAUGCAACAUUAGUGAUGAGUAUGUAGGAUAAGUCCAAUAGCCAGCAGGCUAAUGCUACAUUAGUGAUGUACAACAACAUAGCCACCGGUGUGCUAAUGCUACUGUAGCAAUAUUGAACAAGGGCCAGUAGUAAUGUGGGACGAGGCCACUAGCUGGCGUAAAAACUCAAAGUUUCUUUAGUUUGUACGCUCUGUUUUGCAAAUUAGCAUGUGGCAAUGACACAGGACACAUGACGAGGCACUGUGCUUGUCCUGAUCCUGAAUAAGCAACACAGCAAAUGGGAAAAAAAAACUGUAACCUGCCUAAUGGGUCCACACCAUGUGUAACAGUGCAGCACAGCUUUAUUAAGAGGACUCCCCCUAUCACCAGCGAUGCCCCAACACACCAGGAGGGUGAAGACCAACACAUGCCUCCUCCGAUAUAUGUGAAGUCAGCCACCGCUUCUUUUCGAGCUGCUGCUGAUGCAGUAUUGCCGAGCAGCCAGCGCGCUUGGAGGAAAGCGCAGCGGCUCGGCUCCGGUACAUCAGCUCACAGACGCCCUGUGCUGCAGACAUCACCCUAGGAGUGAUGUGGGGAGAGAGCGCCAUCUACCCACCAGAAGGGAGCAGGGCCAAUUUUGCCCCCUCUAACGCCGGCAGCUUGAUGGCAAAGCUGCAUGAGCGGUUCGAACCUGUGACCUCCCGCUCAUAGUGGCAGCGCUUUAGACCACUGGACCACUCGGCGCCCAUCCUAAGGCUUGUUAUUCAGUAAUUACAUUGCAAUCCAUUACAGUGUCACAUUUUUCAUUGAUUCUCCAAUUACUCUUAUGAAUAAGGGAGGUAUUCUCUUUUUAAUUUAGUUUCAUUUAAGAAGCUACAUUUUACUGAAUUAUUUCAGAACAAUAGAUGUGUUCUAAGAAUGGACUGUACUGUAGUUUUAUGUAUCUUUUCACAAGAUGUCAACAUUUCCUACUGCAUAUUAUGGUAUCUGUAGAAUCGGAUCCGAAAAGCAGUGCUGAUACAGAGAGACAGAGUCUGUACAGUGAUUGUCAGACAACCUUUUCUACCAGCAAAUCUGAACACACACACACACCAUGGUGUCUCAGGAUUUUAAAGUGACUUCCGCGAAGAUGAAAAAUGUAAUUUGUCCUUCCAGGAAACGAUUGAUUGAAAUCUUAUUAGACAUCAGAUUUGUCAUAGCCAAAAAAUGCAGCACAAAAGCAAUGAAUGGGAUAAAAUAUGGAGGAGCAGCGUGCUAUUUUUAGAAGGUCUUUUUCAGUGGAGGAGGAAUUGAACGGUGCCGUUUUAGGGCUGCAGUGUGGAGGCUGAACAUAUUCGAGCAUGGUGGACUGUUUGAAACUGUUCUUGAAAAUCUGAUGAGCUCAGAUGUUUUGCUGGGAGCUCCUCCUUGGUCAUAUGACCAUGGUAAACCCUACGAGGUAUUGAGCAGCCAUCCUCAUAAGCACCACAUCUGCCCAUUUCCGCCCCAAACUGCCCCUACCCAUCUGCCUCUUCCUGGCUCCCAGCUUUUUACAAUUCACUCCUGAAGGCAAAUCGCAAGAUCUACACUUUAAGCGAAGUCAC